rnacentral:rRNA from 1 species
AUUGAACGCUGGCGGCAGGCCUAACACAUGCAAGUCGAACGAGUGGCGGACGGGUGAGUAAUGUCUGGGAAACUGCCUGAUGGAGGGGGAUAACUACUGGAAACGGUAGCUAAUACCGCAUACCAUCAGAUGUGCCCAGAUGGGAUUAGCUAGUUGGUGGGGUAACGGCUCACCAAGGCGACGAUCCCUAGCUGGUCUGAGAGGAUGACCGGCCACACUGAAACUGAGAGACGGUCCAGACUUGGACGGGAGGCAGCAGUGGGGAAUAUUUCACAAUGGGCGCAAGCCUGAGGCAGCAAAGCCGCGUGUAUGAAGAAGGCCUUCGGGUUGUAAAAUACUUUCAGCGGGGAGGCGUUACCCGCAGAAGAAGCACCGGCUAACUCCGUGCCAGCAGCCGCGGUAAUAC